rnacentral:rRNA from 1 species
CCCUUAGAUGUUCUGGGCCGCACGCGCGCUACACUGAUGAAGGCAACGAGUUUAUCAACCUGCACCGGAAGGUGUGGGUAAUCUUUUGAAACUUCAUCGUGCUGGGGAUAGAUCUUUGCAAUUUUCGAUCUUAAACGAGGAAUUCCUAGUAAGCGCAAGUCAUCAGCUUGCGUUGAUUACGUCCCUGCCCUUUGUACACACCGCCCGUCGCUCCUACCGAUUGAAUGGUCCGGUGAAGCGUUCGGACCGUGGCCUUUGGACGGUUCGCCGUCUGUUGGCUGCGGGAAGUUCGUUAAACCUUAUCAUUUAGAGGAAGGAGAAGUCGUAACA